rnacentral:sRNA from 1 species
UCUGUGACAGGAACAAGUGCAAGGGAGUUUGCAGGUUCAGGUUUGAUGUAAUCAUCUCCACUAAGAAGGUCGAUAACCGGUACUGGUGCUGCAGGAGCUUUUGGACUACUGGAUGAUGCUGGAGCAGGAAGUGCUAAGGUAGAUUGGUUGCUGGCACUUGCAAAUAUGUUGGAAUGAUUUGUAUAAAGAAAUGAUUGUCAAAAUCUGUAAAACCUUUGAACUGGUGCUUUUGAAGUCCCAGGAUUUGCGGGUGGAGAACUAUCAAUUUUGGUUUGGAGAGAUUUUGUUUUCUCCAACCUAACUGCAACGCCUGCAGCAAUAGCAUCAUGUUUUGCUAGAACUCUCUGCAAAUCAUCAUUCAAAGAAAGGCCCUGGCUGAGCAACUCCUCAUUCCUGUAGUGUUUACUAGCUCUACCACUCUCUGCUUGUAUGAACGGCAUUGAUCCACCAGGUCAACAAUGACCUCUUGCCUAAGCCCCUGCAUAUCCAAUGAUCCAAAGCAUUCAACAUCUCGGAAAGAACAUCCAUGAUGCCUCAAAAUUUCAAAAACUGCAAUACCUCAAUGAAGGCAAAUCUGGCACUGAUGAUCCAGGUGGCUCUUGCUGAGCACUGCGUAAAGAUGCAGGAUAGUUUUGCAGAGGUUGAGUCUGUGGAGGAGUAAAUAUUGGAACAGAACCAUUUGAUCUUUGAGGAAAUACGGCCCCAGCACGCUGCCAUCUCCUGAUAUGCUGCGUAGUAUUGUGGAUAUCUUGCACGUACCCCGCCAAAAACUUCUUGCCAAGUGUCUAUCAGAGUGAGGAUCUUCUCUUUCACAUGAAAAUCAGGCUUUUUCUUGACUAUUUUCACCAUUUCAUGAAGUAUGUCUUUCUCAGCAACUUGCAUAUGGACAAUGUCCCCACAGUUUUUGAUCAUCGUCUCCAGUAACUGAAUCAAGCAGAGAAAGCUGGACCUUCGCAUUCCUGUGUGCAAUUCGUUUCUUGAUAGACUUCACGACAUCUUUUGCUUGCCUAUGAAUAUAGCAGUGAAGGUGUCGCAGAUCUCCAGGUUCAUGGCCCAGUCCGGGCCGAUGAGCAUGUCGUUCGUCGCGCGGUCGACCA